rnacentral:rRNA from 1 species
UGAGCCAGCGAGUUACGGCAUGUGGCAAGGUUAAGCUAAAAAGCGAGCCGCAGCGAAAGCGAGUCUGAAUAGGGCGAGUGAGUCGCAUACCGUAGACGCGAAGCCAGGUGAGCUAUCCAUGAGCAGGCUGAAGCGGGGGUAAGACCCCGUGGAGGGCCGAACCCACUUAGGUUGAAAACUGAGGGGAUGACUUGUGGAUAGGAGUGAAAGGCCUAUCAAACCUGGAGAUAUCUCGUUCUCUCCGAAAUAGCUUUAGGGCUAGCCUCGGAUGUUUACCAAUGGGGGUAGAGCACUGAAUAGUUGCGGGGGCUUCACCGCCUACCAAGAUUAAUCAAACUCCGAAUACCAUUGGUCUAGAAUCCGGGAGUCAGAAUAUGUGGGCUAAGCUGUGUAUUCGAAAGGGAAACAGCCCAGACCGCCCGCUAAGGUCCCAAAAUCAAUGCUAAGUGGCAAAGGAUGUGCGUUUGCUCAGACAACCAGGAUGUUGGCUUAGAAGCAGCCAUUCAUUUAAAGAGUGCGUAAUAGCUCACUGGUCGAGUGGACAUGCGCCGACAAUAUACGGGGCUAAGCAUUGUACCGAAGCGGCGGAUCAGUACUUUGUACUGGUGGUAGGAGAGCUUUCUGUACGGGUUGAAGCAGUUGGAUAACCAACUGUGGACUGUCCAGAAGUGAGAAUGCUGGCAUGAGUAACGAGAGACAUGUAAAAAACAUGUCCGCCGUAAACCCAAGGUUUCCUGGGCAAGGCUAAUCCUCCCAGGGUUAGGCGGGAGCUAAGGCAAGGCCGGAAGGCGUAGUCGAUGCACAACAGGUAGAAAUUCCUGUCCCUCCAAAAGAGCGUUAUCACCAAUGGGGUGACGGAGCAGGGUAGCUAGGCGGGGUUCUGGACGUCCCCGUGAUGGCACGUAGGCUGAGAAGUAGUGAAAUGCGCUUCUCGUGAUGGCUGAGGUGUCGGACGAAGCAAUUGAGUGAAGCUAGUAAGCCCAUACUUCCAAGAAAAACCUCUAGGGAGCUCUGAGGAGCCCGUACCGCAAACCGACACAGGUGGGUGGGUAGAGCAUACCAAGGCGAUCGGGAGAACUAUGGUUAAGGAACUCGGCAAAAUUGCCCCGUAACUUCGGGAGAAGGGGUGCCGGUUUCGGUGAAGGGAUUUACUCCCCGAGCUAAGAUCGGUCACAGUAAAUAGGUCCAAGCGACUGUUUAUCAAAAACACAGGACUCUGCUGAAGUCGUAAGACGACGUAUAGGGUCUGACGCCUGCCCGGUGCCGGAAGGUCACGAGGAGUUGUUAGCAUUAGCGAAGCAGCGAAUCUAAGCCCCGGUAAACGGCGGCCGUAACUAUAACGGUCCUAAGGUAGCGAAAUUCCUUGUCGGGUAAGUUCCGACCUGCACGAAAGGCGUAACGAUUUGGACGCUGUCUCAACCAUAGACCCGGUGAAAUUGCACUAGUCGUGAAGAUGCGACUUACCCGCAGAAGGACGGAAAGACCCCGUGAACCUUUACUGCAGCUUGACAUUGGCUGCCGGUUCGUCGUGUAGAGGAUAGG